rnacentral:tRNA from 1 species
GGAGGGGUAGCGAAGUGGCUAAACGCGGCGGCCUGUAAAUCCGCUCCCUCAGGGCUCGGCAGUUCGAAUCUGCCCCCUUCCACCA